GGCCCAAUGGUCUAGAGGUAAGAUACUUGCUUUGGGUGCUCACAGCACGAUUGCAAGGGAUCCCGGGUUCGAAUCCCGGUUGGGCCC